UUGCAUUCUUAAACCCUCUUGGUGGCUGCUCUCGGUGCCUCCAGGAUAUGAGUGGAUGCGACAGGAACCGCAGGAGUCCAAAGGGCUGCGCCUCCCGGUGGCUCAGCCUUAUUUCAGACCUGCGACAUCU
rnacentral:snoRNA from 12 species